rnacentral:rRNA from 1 species
CUACUGGGGUAUCUAAUCCUGUUCGCUCCCCUAGCUUUCGCGCCUCAGCGUCAGGUAAGGCCCAGAGAUCCGCCUUCGCCACCGGUGUUCCUCCUGAUAUCUGCGCAUUUCACCGCUACACCAGGAAUUCCGAUCUCCCCUACCUACCUCCAGCUCGGAAGUAUCGGACGCAGUCCCGGGGUUGAGCCCCGGCAUUUCACGCCCGACUUUCCGAGCCGCCUACGCGCGCUUUACGCCCAAUGAAUCCGGACAACGCUCGUCCCCUACGUGUUACCGCGGCUGCUGGCAC